ACUAGUUCUAGCCCGAACAGACAANUAUCCAAACUAAACAGCAUNCAUAAACUAACUCAAAUUAAAACAUUCACCCUAACAAAAGUAUAGGAGAUAGAAAUUUUNNAAACCGGAGCUAUAGAGCCAGNUACCGCAAGGGAAAGAUGAAAGAACCAACUNAAUAGUACAACAAAGCAAAGAUUUAACCUUUUACCUUUUGCAUAAUGAAUUAACUAGAAACAGCUUUGCAAAGAGAACUUAAGCCAAGGACCCCGAAACCAGACGAGCUACCUACGAGCAGCUUNCCUGAGCUAAUCCGUCUAUGUUGCAAAAUAGUGGAGAGACUUAUAGGUAGAGGUGAGAAGCCUAUCGAGCCUGGUGAUAGCUGGUUAUCCAGAUAAGAAUAUUAGUUCAACUUUAAAUUUACCUCAUGAACUUNNNAUAAUCUAAAUGUAAAUUUAAUCGUUAGUCUAAAGAGGGACAGCUCUUUAGACACNAGGAAAAAACCUUAACUAGAGAGUAAGUGNACAUAAUAUCCAUAGUUGGCCUAAAAGCAGCCAUCAAUUAAAAAAGCGUUCAAGCUUAACUAAACUCACCUGAACCUAAUUCUAANNCAUUAACACUACCUCCUAAUUUUUCACUGGAUUAAUCUAUAGCCNACCUAUAGAGGCAACAAUGUUAAUAUUAGUAACAAGAAAAUUUUNNCUCCCUGCAUAAGUUUAUAUCAGCCCGAAUAAGUCACUGAUAGUUAACCAGAUCAAUAAUCUAAACNCACUAAUUUCAAUAAUUAUUGCUCAUAAUGUUAACCCUACACCGGAAUGCACCNCAAGGGAAAGAUUAAAAGAAGUAAAAGGAACUCGGCAAACACUAACCCCGCCUGUUUACCAAAAACAUCACCUCUAGCAUUNAAUAGUAUUAGAGGCACUGCCUGCCCAGUGACAUAUGUUAAACGGCCGCGGUAUCCUGACCGUGCAAAGGUAGCAUAAUCAUUUGUUCCUUAAAUAGGGACUUGUAUGAAUGGCUAAACGAGGGUUUAUCUGUCUCUUACUUCCAAUCAGUGAAAUUGACCUUCCCGUGAAGAGGCGGGAAUUCCUCAAUAAGACGAGAAGACCCUAUGGAGCUUAAAUUUGCUAAUUNNCAAGCAUCCUAUUAUUAAAUCAACAAGAGAUAAACCUCUGCCUAAUGAAUUAGAAAUUUCGGUUGGGGUGACCUCGGAGCACAACAUAACCUCCGAAUGAUAUUAAUCCAGACUNNAAACCAGUCUAAAUUCACACUCAUAAAUUGACCCAAUCUAUUNGAUCAACGGAACAAGUUACCCUAGGGAUAACAGCGCUAUCCCACUCAAGAGUUCAUAUCGACAGUNGGGGUUUACGACCUCGAUGUUGGAUCAGGACAUCCUAAUGGUGCAGUCGCUAUUAAUGGUUCGUUUGUUCAACGAUUAAAGUCCUACGUGAUCUGAGUUCAGACCGGAGCAAUCCAGGUCGGUUUCUAUCUAUUUUCNNAGAUUUCUCCCAGUACGAAAGGACAAGAGAAAUAGGGCCUAUCUUCACAACAUGCCCUAUAAACAAUAGAUGAAACAAUCUUAAUCUAAUUAAUUAACCCUAUACAUGCCCUAGACCAGGGCUA
rnacentral:rRNA from 1 species